AUACGUAGGGUGCAAGCGUUAAUCGGAAUUACUGGGCGUAAAGCGUGCGCAGGCGGUUUUGUAAGACAGAGGUGAAAUCCCCGGGCUCAACCUGGGAACUGCCUUUGUGACUGCAAGGCUAGAGUACGGCAGAGGGGGAUGGAAUUUCGCGUGUAGCAGUGAAAUGCGUAGAUAUGCGGAGGAACACCGAUGGCGAAGGCAAUCCCCUGGGCCUGUACUGACGCUCAUGCACGAAAGCGUGGGGAGCAAACAGGAUUAGAUACCCUGGUAGUCCACGCCCUAAACGAUGUCAACUGGUUGUUGGGUCUUCAUUGACUCAGUAACGAAGCUAACGCGUGAAGUUGACUGCCUGGGGAGUACGGCCGCAAGGUUGAAACUCAAAUGAAUUGACGGGG
rnacentral:rRNA from 1 species